GAUGAACGCUGGCGGCGUGCCUAAUACAUGCAAGUCGAGCGAACGGACGAGAAGCUUGCUCCUCUGAUGUUAGCGGCGGACGGGUGAGUAACACGUGGAUAACCUACCUAUAAGACUGGGAUAACUUCGGGAAACCGUAGCUAAUACCGGAUAAUAUUUUGAACCGCAUGGUUCAAAAGUGAAAGACGGUCUUGCUGUCACUUAUAGAUGGAUCCGCGCUGCAUUAGCUAGUUGGUAAGGUAACGGCUUACCAAGGCAACGAUGCAUAGCCGACCUGAGAGGGUGAUCGGCCACACUGGAACUGAGACACGGUCCAGACUCCUACGGGAGGCAGCAGUAGGGAAUCUUCCGCAAUGGGCGAAAGCCUGACGGAGCAACGCCGCGUGAGUGAUGAAGGUCUUCGGAUCGUAAAACUCUGUUAUUAGGGAAGAACAUAUGUGUAAGUAACUGUGUACAUCUUGACGGUACCUAAUCAGAAAGCCACGGCUAACUACGUG
rnacentral:rRNA from 1 species